rnacentral:rRNA from 1 species
GACGUAGGGCGCGAGCGUUGUCCGGAUUUAUUGGGCGUAAAGAGCUCGUAGGCGGCUUGUCGCGUCGUCCGUGAAAACUUGGGGCUCAACCCCAAGCUUGCGGUCGAUACGGGCAGGCUAGAGUUCGGUAGGGGAGACUGGAAUUCCUGGUGUAGCGGUGAAAUGCGCAGAUAUCAGGAGGAACACCGGUGGCGAAGGCGGGUCUCUGGGCCGAUACUGACGCUGAGGUGCGAAAGCAUGGGGAGCAAACAGG